AUACAUAAAACAAACGGGUAGAACAUCACUGUGAUAGUUAAUGUGAGAAAU
rnacentral:guide_RNA from 1 species